AUUUCCCCACCAAAUACAACCCAGUAGCUAAGCACAUGAGCAAGUGAAGGCAAAUAAAAUCAGUUGCAAUUGAAGGCGAGGCCUUACCGAGCCCAGAUCAAAUAGCAAACAGCCCUAUUCAGGUCCAGUGUUAUUAUCAGCCUUGUAACUGGUCCGGUGCUGGUCAACUGUUCUGGUGGUACCAUUCUUACCGAUCAAAACGCCGACCAUUAGUGUUCUACAGAGAUUGGAAACAAGCAAGACAAAAUCGAAUUUGAAAAGAAAAAAUCAGAGAUGGAACAAAGAGGAAUUUGGGCUACUAAAACCUGUAGCCAAGGGUUUUGGAUAAGCUUACUAGUGUUCUUAUGCAUGAUCACAACAACACAAGUGGAGGGAUCAAUUCAUGAGUACAGAAACGAAGCUUUUACUCCCAAGACAAAUGCCUUCAUUUUCCAUGGUGGUAGUGAAGGGCUCUAUGCUUCUAAAGCUCCUCCUGAUUCCUCUGGUACCACCCAAUCAGGAAAAUCUUUCGUAAGGUUUGAAGGAGUGACGUUUAGGAGGACUAAAGAGUCGGCGAGUAGGCAAGAGGGAAUGCAGGAGAGUACUGGAGUGGUUGAAGCAAUCAUACUUGAUGUGCAAGAUAGGAAGAGGAUUGGAGGGGCAUUUUUGAAGAUUAAUGCUAUAUGUUGUAAUAGUACACUUGCGGAGACGGGUUCUUGCAAGUUAGGAGAGGUGAUUUUACAGAAGAAUCCAGAUAUUCCCAGCUGGCCGAGGGUUAUUAAGACGCACUUUGCAGGAAAAAAUGAAGAAGUGAAAAUGGGGAGUGAGGAAGUUGAGAUAAACAGUAAUGGAAUGUAUCACCUUUAUUUUAUGUUUUGUAACUCAGAAUUGAAGGGGACAUUGAUUAAUGGAAGGACUGUGUGGAAGAACCCGAAUGGUUAUUUGCCGGGAAAGUUGACUCCUUUGAUGACUGUCUUUGGAAUUAUGUCUUUAGCUUAUCUUGUGCUUGGAUUAGUAUGGUUCUUAAGGUUUGUUCAAUUCUGGAAGGGUAUUAUCAUACAGUUGCAUUACCAUAUUACAGCAGUUAUUGCUCUUGGGAUGUGCGAGACGGCUGUUUGGUAUUUUGAAUAUGCCAAUUUUAAUUCUGCUGGAUUGAGACCGAUGGGUAUUACAUUGUGGGCUGUCACUUUCACCACUGUGAAGAAGACUCUAUCCCGCCUUCUUCUUUUUGUUGUCACGAUGGGCUUUGGAGUGGUUAGGCCAGCCCUCGGUGGCAUAACAUCAAACGUGCUUGUUCUUGGUUUGGUAUAUUUUAUUGCUUCCGAGGCAUUCGAGCUCGUUAAAUAUUUUGGAAACAUCAAUGACUUUUCCAAGAAAACAAAGGUGUUUAUGGUACUUCCAGUUGUUUUCCUAGAUUCCUGCUUUAUUCUCUGGAUUUUCUCAUCGCUAUCAAAAACUUUAGAGAAGCUUCAGAUGAGGAGAAACAUGGCUAAGUUAGAACUGUAUCGGAAGUUUACCAAUGCCCUUGCAGUGUCUUUACUGCUCUCCAUUGCCUGGAUUGGUUUUGAGCUAUACUUCAAUACAACUGAUCCACUAAGUGAGCUGUGGCAAGUUGCAUGGGUCAUCCCUGCUUUCUGGACUCUGCUUGCGUACUUUCUCUUGGUGGUAAUAUGUGUCCUCUGGGCUCCUUCAUGUAACCCAUCUAGAUAUGCAUAUUUAGAAGGGGAGGACUUUGACGGGGAGGGUAUAUCAUUGACAACUGGGGAUAUUGCGACAAAGCUGGAAAGUAAUGCACUUGUUGAAGAUCUUGAGGAGGAUAAGCAGGAGUAGAUGAAUAAUAACUAGUAAAGGUGAAUCUGAUUGGCGCUUCAGUUGCAUAUCCAGAUUCUUUCUUAGUAGAGGGAAAGGAAUGCAGGGCCUGGAGACCUGAUGCUGCUGACUGAGGCCGCAAGAAACCUUCCUCCACGGCAAUUCCUGACAUCAAUUGCAGCUUUGGACCUGUUUGGUAUUGUGGAAUAAAUUCAGUUAGAAAUGCCAAAAAAAAUAAAAUCAAUUUGGUAUCUUUUCAAUCUAACCAUAUUAAAAAAAGAAAAGAAAAAAGAAACAUUUUUCUGCUAAACUAUGUGUGGACCUAAUAUUUGAUGUAGAGCUGCUAUUACAAAAAAUGUAUUUAUUUUUUA